AUGGCCCCCAAGGCGGAGAAGAAGCCGGUGGCGGAGAAGGCCGAGAAGACCACUCAGGUGCACCCGGACAUCGGCAUCUCCUCCAAGGCCAUGUCCAUCAUGAACUCCUUCAUCAACGACAUCUUCGAGAAGCUCGCCGGCGAGUCCGCCAAGCUCGCCCGCUACAACAAGAAGCCCACCAUCACGUCCCGGGAGAUCCAGACCUCCGUCCGCCUCGUCCUCCCCGGCGAGCUCGCCAAGCACGCCGUCUCCGAGGGCACCAAGGCCGUCACCAAGUUCACCUCCGCUUAG
rnacentral:rRNA from 1 species